rnacentral:rRNA from 1 species
CGCAAUGGGCGAAAGCCAGCCGCAGCGACGCUGCGUGGGUGAUGAAGGCCUUCGGGUUGUAAAGCCCUUUUCCGAGGGAAGAGAAGGGACGGUAUCUCGGGAAUAAGCCUCGGCUAACUACGUGCCAGCAGCCGCGGUAAUACGUAGGAGGCGAGCGUUAUCUGGAUUUACUGGGCGGAAAGAGCGCGCAGGCGGCUACGCAAGUCGUGCGUGAAAGCUCCCGGCUCAACUGGGUGAGGACGUGCGAUACUUCGUGACUAGAGGACAGAAGAGGAGAGAGGAAAGCCCGGUGUAGCGGUGAUAUACGUAGAUGACGAGAAGAACACCAGUAGCGGAGGCGGCUCUCUG